ACAUACACCGCAACCCGCCGCCGGGGAUGAGAGGCGGUGACAGGACGCGUAGGGCCCGCUAACCGCCCCUCGUGUGUUGGGAAGGGAGUGUGCGGGCGUAGAGGGGAGGGACAACUGUUGCUCGCUGGAAAUGGGCGUGAGGGGGCUCCGCUGGUGUUCUGAGAGUCGCCACAUGGGAGAAUGAAGGCUGAUCCCAUGCAAGUGUUGUGUGGUGGUCACCUUGAGGAACGGCGGCCGCCCAAACACUGCGUGGUGGUGGUGGUGGUGGUGAUGCUGGUAGUGAUGGUAUUAGUAUGUGUGGUAGUGAUAGUGGAGACAUGGGCACUGAGUACUGGUAGACAGAGUAACAUUCACUACCCCCCUUAAAACACUCCCUCCCAGUAUCCCCUCGUCCCCUCCCUCCCGCCUCCUCCGUAUGCCACCUGCAGCCUUCACCCUUCCAUCCCCCCAACCACAACCACCACACGUACUCCCCCCACUCUCCUCCACCUCCCUGCCUCCUCAUCUCAACAGUUAGAGGUCUUCUGCUCCACACCCUCACCCUCACCUUCACCUUAGGCCUUGGUAACUGGAAUGUCAGACGCGAAAAUGAAAGGCAAAAAAUAAUAAGUGAGUGACCCUUGCCAGCUUCAUCCCCGCGAGCCGCCGCCGCCGCCACCGCCACCACCGCCACACCGCCGUCAUGCUGUUCUGUUUGUCUCCCGCCGCAGGAAACUUUAUGAAACUCAGUGAAAACGCCAGCACUGCAUCGCUCACUGCUGCUGCUGCUCACUGCCUCGCCUCUAUCGUUCCCCAGCAGAGCCACGCACGAAGUGUAAAGCAAGGAAAAAAAUGAUAAAUAAGAAUAAAGCAGCAAGUGAUAUGAUAAAAUACUCCCUAUACUAAAAAGGAAACGUAAAAUUCUUCCCUUUAUAAAGUGCAAGGAAGGGAAGAUAGAGUGAUAAAAGUAAGCAUGGCAAAGGGUGAUAAAGCAGGAAUGAAGAGCAAAAGGGAAAGUAAAGCUCCCGAUAUUACCAAAGUGAGAGAAUACAAAGAGAAAAGUGUGAUAAAGUAAGGGAGGAGAGAUAAAACAGAAAAUGAAGGUGAAAUUAUUACCAAAAGUGAGAGAAUACAAAAAAUGUGAUAAAGUAAGAAAAGAAAAGAAAAAAACAGAAAAUAAAGUUGAAAAUAUUACCAAAGUGAAAGAAUACAAAGAGAAAAAGUGUGAUAAAGUAAGAAAAACGGGAACAAAAUAAAGCUGCCUGUAUAACUGAGGUGAAAGAAUAAAGGAGACAAAACUGUGAUGAAAUAAGGCUAAAGAGCGAACCAGAAAGCAUAAAAUUACAAAAAAAAGAGAAAAUAAAGAAAAAUGUGAAAAAAACAAGAAUAGAGUGAAAAAAAUAAAGUUAGAAAGUGAAAGAGAAAGAAAAAAAAAUGAUAAAGGAAGAAUAAAGACCGAAACAAAAAGUCUACAUAACAAGUGAAGGAAUAUAAAAGAAAACGGAAUAAAAAAGCGGAAAUAAAGAGCAAAACAGAAAAUAAAGUCCGUAUUACCAAAGGGAGCGAGUAAAGAGUGGGAAAAAAAAGUUCAUAGCAAACGAGAACGUGAAGGUCAAAGUUUGUAAAGUUCAAAGAGAAUGAUCUUAGUGAACUUGAAGGCAGGGGAGUGUGAAAAGUACUCCAUAAAAUGUGGUGCUGGGAUGGCGGUCCGCACACACACACACACACACACACACACACACACACACACACACACACACACACACACACACACACACACACACAGCCUUGAGCCAAUAAAGAGCUAAGCGCAAGGACAAGGAAACAAAGGCUAGCACACCUGCACACACCUGUACAGGCAGUGACAGGUAUUCAAGUCCCGCCCUUCAGGUAACAAUGGAUUCCUAACAUCACCAGCAAGAUCAAAGUUUGCCCAUCAAAGCCGCGCCUUCAAGCUACCCUUCCUGGACUCUAUGGGGGGGAGGGGACACUGGAGGAAGGAACACCAACACAUCAACAAAACAGAGACAAACAACUUCACACACCUUCCCCCUUCACUCCCUCUUGUCGCCUCAAUCCAGAACUGAAAUGCACUUCCAAAGAACCAACCAACCGAGAACACCAAAUUUCCAGCUUCCAUAUGUGGAUGUGGAGUGAGUGACUCAUGUAUCCCAGCAGCCUCCCUUCCCACCACCACACAUCUCAGGAAUCUCCAAACAUAUUCACAAGAACAGUCAACCACAAUUCUCCACAAACAAAUAAAAAACUGCUGCAAAGGAGUGUUCUGUUCCCCUCUGGCCGGCGGUACCCAGAAGCCAGCCUGUGUCUCACCGGCCUGGGCCUCAAGCCUCGGAGCAACACGCUUUGCACAUCCCAGGAAUCUCAUGUGAUUGAAAAAUAUGUAUUUUACAAAUUUAUUAUUCAACAGUAUAAUGUCAAGCAACAGUUUCGUACAGAGGAGGCUAGCAGAUAGAAUUUUGAUGCAGUGUUGUGUUUUCCUUCCAAUUAUGACUCCUGUGUAUAUGUUACAUAACCUAGUACACAUAAUCACUGUUGGGUGUUCCUGAACACAAGACACAGUAUGAACAGCUGCCCAGUCUGCCCCUGCAGGCGUGGGCGACACUCGUACACACGUACAUAGACUCACUGCAGCCACUAGUCGACUCUCACUCCACCGAGACAAAAACCUUCACAUGUAAACAAUUUAAAUUUAAAGUAAAGAGAUACAACU